rnacentral:rRNA from 1 species
CCUACGGGUGGCAGCAGUAGGGAAUUUUCGUCAAUGGGCGCAAGCCUGAACGAGCGAUGCCGCGUGAGUGAAGAAGGCCUUCGGGUCGUAAAGCUCUGUUGCGGGGGAAAAAAGGCAGCAUCAGGAAAUGGGUGCUGACUGAUGGUGCCCCGCCAGAAAGUCACGGCUAACUACGUGCCAGCAGCCGCGGUAAUACGUAGGUGGCGAGCGUUAUCCGGAAUGAUUGGGCGUAAAGGGUGCGCAGGCGGUCCUGCAAGUCUGGAGUGAAACGCAUGAGCUCAACUCAUGCAUGGCUUUGGAAACUGGAGGACUGGAGAGCAGGAGAGGGCGGUGGAACUCCAUGUGUAGCGGUAAAAUGCGUAGAUAUAUGGAAGAACACCAGUGGCGAAGGCGGCUCUCUGGUCUGCAACUGACGCUGAGGCUCGAAAGCAUGGGUAGCGAACAGGAUUAGAUACCCGAGUAGUC